UGGGGAAUUGUUCGCAAUGGGCGCAAGCCUGACGACGCAACGCCGCGUGGAGGAUGAAGGUCUUCGGAUUGUAAACUCCUGUUGCCCGGGACGAAUGGCUCCAACCUAAUACGUUGGAGAUUGACGGUACCGGGUGAGGAAGCCCCGGCUAACUCUGUGCCAGCAGCCGCGGUAAUACAGAGGGGGCAAGCGUUGUUCGGAAUUACUGGGCGUAAAGGGCGCGUAGGCGGCCUUCUAAGUCGAACGUGAAAUCCCCGGGCUCAACCCGGGAACUGCGUCCGAUACUGGAAGGCUUGAAUCCGGGAGAGGGAUGCGGAAUUCCAGGUGUAGCGGUGAAAUGCGUAGAUAUCUGGAGGAACACCGGUGGCGAAGGCGGCAUCCUGGACCGGUAUUGACGCUGAGGCGCGAAAGCCAGGGGAGCAAACGGGAUUAGAUACCCCGGUAGUCCUGGCCCUAAACGAUGAAUGCUUGGUGUGGCGGGUAUCGAUCCCUGCCGUGCCGAAGCUAACGCAUUAAG
rnacentral:rRNA from 1 species